rnacentral:rRNA from 1 species
UACGGGGGGGGCAAGCGUUGUUCGGAAUUACUGGGCGUAAAGGGCUCGUAGGCGGCCCACUAAGUCCGACGUGAAAUCCCCAGGCUUAACUUGGGAACUGCGUCGGAUACUGGUGGGCUUGAAUCCGGGAGAGGGAUGCGGAAUUCCAGGUGUAGCGGUGAAAUGCGUAGAUAUCUGGAGGAACACCGGUGGCGAAGGCGGCAUCCUGGACCGGCAUUGACGCUGAGUGAGCGAAAGCCAGGGGAGCAAAACGGG